AUGCCACGAAAAUCUACUAGAACACGUGGGCGUGGUGGUAGGGGUUGAUGUAGAGGCAGAGGGAGCUCUGAUAGUAACGAAUCCUGAUCAAGUAGUUAUGUCGGACCAACCAAUCCAACCUAAAUUAAAACCUAUUGCUGGUCUAUAAACUAUAAAGCUGAAUUGACGAUAUUUUAGUGAACGAUAGCAGAGAUGACACAGAAGUGUCAAUAGAUAUAGGAAGAUGUGGUAUGAGUGCCAAUGAGACAACUCUCCAUC
rnacentral:lncRNA from 1 species